CCUGGGUUGGGAAGAGUCCCUGGAGAAGGGAAUAGCUACCCACUCCAGUAGUUGCUCCUGCUUCAUCUAAGACCCCAUUUUCUUCACUCCAACCCUCAUGAGUUUUCAUCUAAACCAGGUCCUAAGAAGACAUGGGUUCCACUAUGCUUCCAAUUGUUUUCAUGAGGAAGAGACCUGGUCCUCUUUCAGCCACAGUGAAAGGUCUUGGGGGCUGGAAGCCAAAUCUGCAAAAGACUGAACUAUCAAUAUGUUAAUCAAAUUAUAAUCAAGAGUGAAAUACAGCAUCUAAAAGAUCUCAUAAAUGAUAAAAAUGAUUUUAAUUAGGAAAUAAAUGCAAUAUUAUAUUA